rnacentral:rRNA from 2 species
AUACGUCCUACGGGAGAAAGGGGGCUUCGGCUCCCGCUAUCGGAUGAGCCUAUGUCGGAUUAGCUAGUUGGUGAGGUAAAGGCUCACCAAGGCAACGAUCCGUAGCUGGUCUGAGAGGAUGAUCAGCCACAUCGGGACUGAGACACGGCCCGAACUCCUACGGGAGGCAGCAGUGGGGAAUAUUGGACAAUGGGGGCAACCCUGAUCCAGCCAUGCCGCGUGUGUGAAGAAGGCCCUCGGGUUGUAAAGCACUUUCAGCGAGGAAGAACGCCUAGCGGUUAAUACCCGCUAGGAAAGACAUCACUCGCAGAAGAAGCACCGGCUAACUCCGUGCCAGCAGCCGCGGUAAUACGGAGGGUGCAAGCGUUAAUCGGAAUUACUGGGCGUAAAGCGCGCGUAGGUGGCUUGAUAAGCCGGUUGUGAAAGCCCCGGGCUCAACCUGGGAACGGCAUCCGGAACUGUCAAGCUAGAGUGCAGGAGAGGAAGGUAGAAUUCCCGGUGUAGCGGUGAAAUGCGUAGAGAUCGGGAGGAAUACCAGUGGCGAAGGCGGCCUUCUGGAC